UACGGAGGAUCCAAGCGUUAUCCGGAUUUAUUGGGUUUAAAGGGUGCGUAGGCGGCUUAUUAAGUCAGGGGUGAAAGACGGUGGCUCAACCAUCGCAGUGCCCUUGAUACUGAUGAGCUUGAAUGAACUAGAGGUAGGCGGAAUGUGACAAGUAGCGGUGAAAUGCAUAGAUAUGUCACAGAACACCGAUUGCGAAGGCAGCUUACUAUGUUUGAUUGACGCUGAGGCACGAAAGCGUGGGGAUCAAACAGG
rnacentral:rRNA from 1 species